rnacentral:rRNA from 1 species
GCUUGAACGCUGGCGGUAUGCUUAACACAUGCAAGUCGAACGAAAUACGAUGGGGUUUACUCUAUCGUAUGGCAGUGGCGGACGGGUGCGUAACGCGUAAGAACUUACCUUUUGGCGAGGGACAACCGCGGGAAACUGCGGCUAAUGCCUCAUAGAGCUGAGGAGCGAAAGGUGAAAACCACCAAAAGAGAGGCUUGCGUCUGAUUAGCUAGUUGGUGAGGGUAAUGGCCUCCCAAGGCGACGAUCAGUAGCUGGUCUGAGAGGAUGAUCAGCCACACUGGAACUGAGACACGGUCCAGACUCCUACGGGAGGCAGCAGUGAGGAAUUUUCCGCAAUGGGCGAAAGCCUGACGGAGCAAUACCGCGUGGAGGAGGAAGGCCCGUGGGUCGUAAACUCCUUUUCUCAGAGAAGAACACAAUGACGGUAUCUGAGGAAUAAGCAUCGGCUAACUCCGUGC